AUACGUGCUCCGGGGUCGGUGUAAGUCCGAACCGGCGGUGACAGUCCGCGACCCGCGAGCCGGUGCUUCUCCCAGGAGAAGGCCCGGCGGACGGUUGAACCGGUGAAAUUCCGGUACCGACAGUUAAAGUCUGGAUGAGAGAAGCACGUAC
rnacentral:ncRNA from 2 species